ensembl:miRNA
UAUAUGUGUAUGUAUGUGUGUGUGUACACAUGUAUGUGAGUAUGUAUACACACACACACACACACACACGCAAACACACACA